rnacentral:rRNA from 1 species
GACGAACGCUGGCGGCGUGCCUAAUACAUGCAAGUAGAACGCUGAAGGAGGAGCUUGCUCUUCUGGAUGAGUUGCGAACGGGUGAGUAACGCGUAGGUAACCUGCCUGGUAGCGGGGGAUAACUAUUGGAAACGAUAGCUAAUACCGCAUAACAGUAGAUGUUGCAUGACAUUUGCUUAAAAGGUGCAAUUGCACCACUACCAGAUGGACCUGCGUUGUAUUAGCUAGUUGGUGGGGUAACGGCUCACCAAGGCGACGAUACAUAGCCGACCUGAGAGGGUGAUCGGCCACACUGGGACUGAGACACGGCCCAGACUCCUACGGGAGGCAGCAGUAGGGAAUCUUCGGCAAUGGACGGAAGUCUGACCGAGCAACGCCGCGUGAGUGAAGAAGGUUUUCGGAUCGUAAAGCUCUGUUGUAAGAGAAGAACGAGGGUGAGAGUGGAAAGUUCACACUGUGACGGUAUCUUACCAGAAAGGGACGGCUAACUACGUG